rnacentral:rRNA from 1 species
ACGUAGGGGGCAAGCGUUAUCCGGAUUUACUGGGUGUAAAGGGAGCGUAGACGGCGAGGCAAGUCUGAUGUGAAAGCCCGGGGCUCAACCCCGUGACUGCAUUGGAAACUGUUUUGCUUGAGUGCCGGAGAGGUAAGCGGAAUUCCUAGUGUAGCGGUGAAAUGCGUAGAUAUUAGGAGGAACACCAGUGGCGAAGGCGGCUUACUGGACGGCAACUGACGUUGAGGCUCGAAAGCGUGGGGAGCAAACAG